rnacentral:rRNA from 1 species
CCUACGGGUGGCUGCAGUGAGGAAUAUUGGUCAAUGGCCGGGAGGCUGAACCAGCCAAGUCGCGUGAGGGAAGCCGGCCCUACGGGUUGUAAACCUCUUUUGUCAGGGAGCAAGGUGCAGGUCGGGACCUGCUGUGAGAGUACCUGAAGAAAAAGCAUCGGCUAACUCCGUGCCAGCACCCGCGGUAAUACGGAGGAUGCGAGCGUUAUCCGGAUUUAUUGGGUUUAAGGGGUGCACAGGCGGAGGCACAAGUCAGCGGUAAACUCGCGGGGCGCAACCCCGCUCCGCCGUUGAAACUGUGUGCCUUGAGGGGGCGAAGGGGAGGCGGAAUGCGUGGUGUAGCGGUGAAAUGCAUAGAUAGCACGCAGAACUCCGAUCGCGAAGGCAGCCUACCGGCGCGCAACUGACGCUCAUGCACGAAAGCGUGGGUAUCGAACAGGAUUAGAUACCCGGGUAGUC